CUGUAGUGUCCAGUACAAGCUGGUAUCAGGAGGCUGAAGGGUCUGAGCUGGAAACCAGAAGAUCACAUCCAAGGUGAAGAAAUGGACAUGGAUUUAGAAUUCAGACUUUUGAGAUGAUUUUAAGGGUAAAUGCUGUAGAAAGUUGUGGAAGGAAGCAAAAUCAGUCAGAGGAAGAAAAAUGGAAACCAGACGCAGCCUCAACAAAGAACCCAGUCAACCAGACUGGGAGCUCAGGAGCUAAAACUGCCCUUCAAAGUUGCUCUUUAUAAGAUUAAAAUGUCCCAGCCUUUCUGCUCUUGCUUCACUCAGUCUCCAGAUGCAAGCUGCCUUGGGAAGGGCAGGACCUUAACAAGGUGGCUUUUCACACCUGAAGCACACCCAGCUAGCAGCUGGAGGCCCUGUGCAGACUGUAUUCUCCACAGCUGGGCAGGACAGUUGCCCCACGAAGCCCACCCAGGAUUGGCUCCACACACACUGUGGAUAGUGAAAUCCAUGGAUGCUCAAAUCCUUUAUAUAAAAUGGUACAGUAUUUGCAUAUAACUUCACACAUUCUCCCAUAUACUUUCUUUUUUUUCAGUACCAGGGAUCAAACUCAGGACCUUGCACUUACAAGGCAGGCAUGGCACCACUGAUCUAAAUCCCUGGCCCUCCCAUAUACUUUAAAUCAUCUCUAGAUUAUUUAAUACAAUGUAAUGCAAUGUAAAUAUUGUAUCAUUUAGGGAACAGUGAUAAGAAAAAAGUAUGUACAUGUUCAGUAUAGAUGGAAUUUUUUCCCUGAAUGUUUUCCACCCACAGUUGUUUGAAUCCACACACAGGGAGGGCCAACUACACAUGCCAGGACGGGGGGUGUGGGGUGCAUCUCUUUGUCCAUCACCGUGUGACUUGUAGUUUAUGUAUACAAACCUACUGUAUGCUUGGCAACACAGUCAUGUGUUUUAAAAAUAAGGACAAUAUAAAAGUUUACAGUGAAAAAUCUGUCCUACCCACGAUCUGCAUAUAUUUUCAGCAGUUCUUUAUGCAAGUAAGGCAAAUAUAUAUAUUUAUGAUUCUUCAUUUUCUAAGUGUUGGCAGGCCUGGUUUCUUCUGAGGGUUUUUUUUCUUGUCUUGCUGAUGGCCACCUUUGCUCUGUGUCUUCACUCUCUAGGUGCACAUAUCCUUGGGGUCUUUGGGUGCCCAAAUUUCCUCUUCUUAAAAGAGAAACAUCACCUCUCUAAAUACCCUUACCUACAUACAGUCAUAUUGUGAGAUACUCAAAGUUAGGACUUCAACACAGGAAUUUGGGAGAAUCACAAUUCAGCUCAUAAAAAUCACCUACAAAUUAAGGAGGUAGUUUGUUGUUAUAACACACAAAUCUACUUGUAAUGUGGCCGUUUCCAUCUCUCCAACUUUCUCUCUUGCUAUUUUCCUAUGUCACUUUAUCUCCAGGGAGACCAAACUCUGUGUAGCUCCUCAAACAGCCAAUCUUUUUGGUGCUUCUGUGCCAGCCACUGUCCCCCACCAUCUCACUGGUAAGAUGCUUCAGUUCUUACCCUGAGUCUUUUCUGAAAUUUGAAAAUCUAUAUAGCAACUGCUCUUAUGUCAUUGUUGGUUUGAUAAAAAUUCAUUGCGUUUUCCAGUCUCCUAGUCUCUAAAGCAAGAACUAGGUGCUUAUCCCUUUUCUUCUGAAAACUACUUCUUUUGCUAUAACAGAAUAACUGACAGCAGAUAAUUUAUAAAGAAAAUACAUUUAUUUGACUCAUGGUUUGAAGACUGGGAAGUUCAACCCCUGGCACUGGUGCUGGUUAGGGCCUUCUUGCUGCAUUAUAACAUGUGAGACCCAGUAAGUGUGUGAGCCCAGAGCCCUCCUCUUCCCAUAAAGCCACAGAUGCCAUUGUGGGGCCCACUGUCACGACCCCACUUGACCCUGACCACUUCCUAAAGUCCCCACUCUGACUACUAUGAACAUAUGAAUUUGCAGUUAAGUUUCCAAAACCAAAACUCUGGGGACACAUUCAAACCACAGCACUCCAAACACAGGAAACAGUCACAAACACAAGCCCUUUCCCAGGACUGAGGAAGGGAGAGUGUGAAUGAUGCUGAGCAGAGGGGUGAGGAACUACACCUCUCACAGCUCAAGGCCCACAGGCACAAGGAAUCGAGUGGGCAUUACCCCAGCAAAACUCGCCUCCUGGCAGAGUCCUGUCUUGCACAUUGGAGAGAGGAGACUCGGCCCUUUGGAAGCACGCAGAGCACCUGCACAGCAGGGUCAGGUGUGUGCCCCAUUGCCUCAAGCAGCGUUCAGGAGACAGCUGUUAGACCUACAUUGUUUAUGCAGCUAAAUAAACAAAGUUCUCAUCAAGAAAAACCAACUAUUCAGGAACCAAGCUAUCCAGCCAUGGGAAACCCAUCCAUGCUUUCAAAACCUGUGGCUUAAAAUCAGUCACACCUUCAUUUCUCAAGCAGGGCACUUGCAGGCGAAUUCCAACCAAUGCAUUAUGAUCAAGCUGCAUCAUCAGCUUUAGAUUCUAGGCCUACUGUUUCAGCUCAUUUAGGAAAUAGUGUGGUGCCCAGAGAAAGAGGUUUUCUAUAGAAUUAUAAGCUUCACUUGGACCUAGGUCCAAAAAGAGAUUAACUUGGGGCCUCUACAUUUCUGAAAACUUUACUUUUCAUUUACCAGUGUCC
rnacentral:lncRNA from 1 species